AGGGAUUUAGCUCAGUGGUAGAGCGCUUGCCUAGCAAGCGCAAGGCCCUGGGUUCGAUCCCCAGCUCUG
rnacentral:tRNA from 1 species